GUUGUGCACAAAGAACGCUGCCAUGAUAGCAUCUUAAUCCAGAAAGGCUGAGCAUUUUUCAAAUUGUUAAUUCUGUCAUUCUGGCCAUAAUAAAUGGUUACCUGGAUUGCAAGCUGCUGAAUGAUCCUCUGGGCAUGUCUAAGCCACCAUUCCACUGCACAGCCACCAUGAAUGUAAAGUACUAUUUACCAUCAGAACAUCUGAAGUUGUUUAUGGGAGCCCUGGAUCAAGUCAACACUUACUGUCAUCAGUAAAUAAGCAGAAACUUACAGAACAUUAGGCUAGGGUGUGCCCACAUUAUUCCUCUAUUCAUACAGAGCUCACUACUUUUCACCAUAUAUUUGAUUUUUAUCUUAGGUGCUAGGCAUAAACAACGCCAUAGGCACUGCUGUGAGGGCUGGUGAAUGUGCAUGCCUCUGUUUAUUUGGGAAAUGGAAGAGCUGUGGGGUUUUAAUUACCCUGAGCUGGUAGAGAUCAAUUUGAAAAACAAACAUAUUAGUAAAAAAUCAAGCACUCUUUUGCUGCCAGAGGAUUACAAUUUGAAAUCAUAGCAUCCUAGAGCUUUACAGCUAGAAGAAACAGCAGAGACUAGGGGGGGAGCCAAGCUCCUCAUUUUACAGAUUGGAAAACUGAGCCCCCAAAGGGGAAAUAGCAUGAAGAGUGUUUAAGAGCUUGGUUUCUGCUAUGAGAUCCUUGCUCAAAUCCCAGGUCAACAACCUACCAAACAACCUGGAAAGUCAUUUGACAUUUCUGGGCCUCAGUGGCCUCAUCUGAAAAAUGGGGACUAUGAUGGAGUUGCAAGGAUUAAAUGAGGCUUUGAACAGGUUGUAGAUAUUAUGCAAUAUCAAGACCUUACUUUCUAGCAAGAACACAGUGCAGCUAUCCUGAAGACUGCUAAUUGCCGGCAAAGUUAAAAUUUUGACAACAUGUUCUGAGCCAAGCAAAUCCACUUCAGGAGUCCAGUGCCCGCCCUCCCCCUGCUUCUGUCCUGGAAGUCUGGACGUCUAUCUGGAGAGGCAACAGUCCUUGAACGAAGGCCGCCCGCGAGAGGCUGCCAAGAUUCCAGCAUUGUCCAGGAACUUCAAGGAGCUAAAUUGGGACCGAUCAAAUCAUUAAGGAGACUUCUUGCAGGGAAUGUGACCCCGGGGAAUCGAGAGAGGCAGAGUGUAGCUCUGCGGCCCUGUUUUGCUGUUAUAUGCAAGCCCAUGUGACACUGGCUGGUUGUUGGUGAGAAAACAAAACCCCCUCCAAGUCACUUGACUCCAGGAGGCCAAAGGCCAAACCAGCCAUUCAGCCACCGAGUCAUCACAGACAGUGUGUCUGUAAGUGUAUUACCCUCUUCCCCAGAGACAUCUGGUAAGGCCAAAUGGCUUGGUAAACUUCCUAUCUCAAAUAAUGUAGAGUGAGCAGUGACCAGAUUUUCUUUGUCCCAGAGAAGAAAGAAAGACAUGCACUGAAGUGAAGACAUAGCUGAUUUGGUGGAGGGAGAAGCAGGGCCAGCUUCAUGGGUGUGCAGGGUGUGCAUAUGAUUUAAUGCCAUGUUUUUACCAUCUUAAAAUUCUUAAUAACUAUUGAACAAGGGGAUGUGCAUUUUUAUUUUGCUCUGAACGCUAAAAAUUAUGUAACCAGUUGUGGAGAGAAGUGUGUACAUGUGUAUGUGCACGUGUGAGUGUGUGCAUGUAUGUGAUGCAUAUGUGCACAUCUGUGUG